CCAUCUAUUAUAUAAACAAAUUAUUUGUCAAUAGUAGUUCAGUUAUUUUAGCUGUAAAAACUAAAGUGUCAAUACUCAAUAAUAAAAUACUAAUGACUUGCUAGUUAUUUUAGCUGAAUCAAUCAAUGUAGUUGUAAAAUAUUUAUAUUGGUAGUUUGCUCGGUGAAAGAAAGGUUAAAAUGACAAAUUUAAGAUAUCAUCCCAAAAUAAAAUAAAAACUUGCACUAUUUGGAAUACAACGAAUUACAAUAUUACCCUUUCUCAACUAUCGUUUUCCAUCUCAUACAUACACACAUGUACAUACGCACACACUAUAUCUCUCUUUCUUACUUAUUUUAUUUUUCCUGAAUUUUGUUUUAU
rnacentral:lncRNA from 1 species